AUUGAACGCUGGCGGCAGGCCUAACACAUGCAAGUCGAGCGGAUGAAGGGAGCUUGCGCCUGGAUUCAGCGGCGGACGGGUGAGUAAUGCCCAGGAAUCUGCCCGGUAGUGGGGGAUAACGUCCGGAAACGGGCGCUAAUACCGCAUACGUCCUGAGGGAGAAAGUGGGGGAUCUUCGGACAUCACGCUAUCAGAUGAGCCUAGGUCGGAUUAGCUAGUUGGUGGGGUAAAGGCAUACCAAGGCGACGAUCCGUAACUGGUCUGAGAGGCUGAUCAGUCACACUGGAACUGAGACACGGUCCAGACUCCUACGGGAGGCAGCAGUAGGGAAUCUUGCGCAAUGGGCGAAAGCCUGACCGAGCAAUGCCGCGUGAGUGAUGAAGGUCUUCGGAUCGUAAAGCACUGUUAGUAGGGAGGAAAAAAAGUAAGAGGAUAUGUUCCUGUUUUGACGGUACCUAAUGAAAAAGCCCCGGCUAACUACGUG
rnacentral:rRNA from 1 species